rnacentral:tRNA from 1 species
GCCGAUGUAGCUCAGUUGGUAGAGCAGUUGAUUUGUAAUCAGCGGGUCGGGGGUUCGAAUCCCUCCAUCGGCUCCA